UACAUUUUCCUCCGUUAGUUUUCUCUUUCUCUCUCGCAUAUAAUUUUUUCCGAGAUUUUUAUUUUGGGUUUAAAAAGUGCCGGAGGCGAUUCAAUCUCCCCCUCCACCCAAUGGAAAAUCGUCAUAAAGAACAAAAAAGAUGAUCCUAAUGUUAUCGCUUGACAUGGACCCAUGCGCCAUCUUGGAGCUAGCAUUCAUUACUACACGCAUCAUGUCCACACACUGGGGCGAAUCAAUAAAAUUGUAUCAAAUACAUAUAACCUCGUGAGCGUGAUCCAUCACCAGAUGGCCCGCAUCUUGUCGACUCUGUGUUGUCACAAUAGGCAGGUGCGACCGUGAUUGUGCAACGGCAAGCGGAAUGAUAACAGAAAAAAGGAUGCCGUAUAGUUAGAAAAAGAGAAAAGCUUCGACUUGAUAUACGACCUUGAUAUUGUCGCGAAGAGAUUCGACCUUCACCGCCAUAAAUCAAGCCCGUACGAGCAUGGCCAUAAUUUCUUUGCAUGUUUUUCAAAUAUAUCACAUGACCUUGAUCCGAUUGUUGUCAAAGAUAUUUCGUUGUUGGCACACUAAGGAAAAAUGUUCAUUAUUACAGUUUUAAUUGUGUA